CAGGCAGUGGGGGAACACUGUAGUAACAGCCAGGAAAAAAAAAAAUUGAAUAUCGAUACCUAAAUCAAUCCUCCUGCACUUAAUCAAAAUCAAUACGCAUAGUCACACACAGGCAGCUAAAUUUAUGUGCUAUCUAGAUUUUCAGAAGUAACUAUUGAUGCAAUUUUCAAAGCCUUGCAUUUCAUAUGCUCACCAUGAGAUAUCUUAAUUGGGCUUGCUUUCAUGGAAAUGAUGCUCUGAAUUGCUGAGCACCUGUCAUAAAAGGCUACUGUCCAUUCUGCUUUGGUUGGCCUAUGACAGGAGCACCACACCCCUCUCUGAAGGAACCUGCUACAGCAUCCAGCCUUUCAAACAGCCUUUCCUCUCUUGUUAUAACAGGCCGGAGGAAAUGUUACACCAGCUUUCUUACAGAUCCUGAAAACAAAAAUGAUGAUGAGAAGAAUCCUAUCAGCAGUGACAAGCUUUUUCACUUUCUGCAUACUUCAG
rnacentral:lncRNA from 1 species